GCGGUGGCCUGGUGGUUAGAGUGUCCGCCUCGAAUGCGUAAGGUCGUGAGUUUAAUCCUCGGUAGAGUCA